UUUCAGUGUUUCCUCCUCUUCUCUCAACCCUCAACCUUCAUCCCUCUCAAACUUCUUCUUCCUCCCUUCUCUCAAAUUACCUCAAAUCCAUGUCAAACUUCUAUUGAAAUUCUUCAUUAUAAACUGUUUAAGGAAUAAUAUUUGUGUUUGAAUGAGCAUUUGAAGAAGAUAGAGGAAGAUUUUCUGGAUUAAUAAGAACUUUAAGAGCGGUCAAUGAUGGGAGGCAAUGGACAAAUAGGUUUGAACUUCGCCGAAACCCAAUGACUAUUGCAUUUCCGUGAACGAACCUCUGAUGGUAGGUUAGUAUGUAAAUCUUACCUUAUACACUAGCGUUGCACUCGUCAGGUUAUUUGAAUCUCUAUCUUUCAAAGAGGUCAUUUUUACCUUGGCGGCAUCUGUUAUUUUGUCAUAUCAUUCACAAACAAUCUAUCUCUGGGUUUCAGGUGUUCUGAUAUUUCAUGACCAACUAAAUCCUUAGCUAGAACAUGAUUGUGAAUACCACAUCUAAUUGUUACCUUCCAACCAAUACUGCUUGAUACAAAUCUCAACAUAAAUGGACAUUUUACUCUUAUAAUACAAGUGACUUUAGAGGAAUUAUGGUUCUUAUAGUUUCCUCCCAUCUUAUAAUCCAAAAUAAAUUUUUCCCUCCUGCCUCUUUGUCUAUUUGGUGUAUCAAAACAUACAAUAACAAUGAUAAUACCAUGUUGUCUUCUAAUAGAAAGUGCCCAUAAUAACACUUAGAUCGAGAGAGAGAGAGAGAGAAAUGUCAGUCAAUUAAAACAUAUAAUGAAUGAAUCAAUCCUAGAUUCUAUAACUCAAUUAAAAAAUUUUAAAAGUUAAAUAAAACAAGUAAGUAAAACAUUCAAAGCCAGUGGUGAAGAAUAGGGUAAAAAUGAAAAUUUUUAAAAUACACCAAAUAUAAAAAAAAUGCAAAAUUUUCUUUUGGGUUAGUAAAAAGUCUAUCGUACUUUUAAAAUACCACUAUCAAAAAAAAAUUUAUUUUUUAUUGGUUCUUUAAGAGUGAAUUUUUUUUUUAAAAUGUGAUAAGGUAAAUAAUACCAAGGUUAAUUUUAUCAUAAUUGAAAAUUAUUGGGGUGUCUCGUAACAUCCUCCUUAAAUUCAUACUCGCGUAGGCUCUAACAUCUGUAUCCAUCGUUAGACUUGUGUUUAAAAAUAUAUAUAUAUCUAAGCACAUACUCUUGUAAGCACCAAAUUUUAUGCUCAUAAGAUUAUGCUUAAAUAUAUUGAAAAAUAUUUCUAGAGGAAAUCGAUAAAAUUCAUCAUUUUAAACAUUGUUAGUGAAUUAACUGGGUGGUGGAUUGACAUUUGUGGCUUUCGUAAUGUUUACAAUGAUCUUGUUAUGUUUAAAACUUACAAAGUUGUGAAAUUUAAGAAUGUGUUGUUGAGAAAUUGUCACACCACAAAAAUGGUUAUAGGUGGAGAUAUGAAAUUGCAAUUCACUUCUCUUCAAGUGGGCCUACUUUCGAGACAAGUCGUCUGGAAGAUAAUCAUAAGACUUAGCCUCAACAAAGAAGUAUCUCCGACACCAUAAUUUUGGGAAACUAUCCUUACAUUUAAGAGGCACCCCAGGUUAAAUGUAACACAUACUUACAUGGGGCACCUCAGUGAAGAGAGUGACCAAGUAGUACCAGUCUUUAAAAUUCUUCACGCUGUCAGAGUAAACCUCAAACAUCUUCUGACCCUACCUAAGGGAUAGCAAGCCUUGAUCCCGUGUUGAUUCAGCCGGGCAACGUUGAACUUUAAAAAGGUGGAAAAUGAGUUUUAAUAUUGACACACUUUUCUUGUAUUCACACCAAUACUAGAAGACUUUGACAUAAUCCCAAUUCACCGAAUGUAGUUGUAAGGAAAAGAACACCAAAUGAUUCAGAAUUCCUAUUUCAAAGUUGUUGAAAGGAAGGCAAAAACAUAUCAAAGAAAACAAUCAUUCAUGAAGAGGGAUAACACACCACUCAUAUUUGAUGCACACACUUUUAUCUUCUUCAAAGGAAAGUACCCUUUAGCCCGAAGGGGGACCCACCUCGAUGAAAAUAUGGUCCAAACUACCCUUACCAACAAAGAAGGAUAUGAAUACUAGAAUUUCGGGAACUUAUCCUUACAUUUUAGAGGCACCACGAGUUAAAUGUAACUCAUACUGGCAUGGGCCACCUCAGUGAGAGGAGUGACCAAGUAGUACCAUUCUUUAAAAUUCUUCACAUUGUUGGAGUAAACCUCAAACAUCUUCUGACCCAGCCUAAGGGAGAGCAAGCCUUGACCCCAUGUUGAGUCAUUCGAGCGACGUUGAACGUUCAAAAAGUGGAAAGGGAGUGUUAAGGUUGACACACUUUUCUUGUACUCACACCAAUACUGAAUGACUUUGACAAAAUCCCAACUCGCCAAAUGUCGUUGUAAGGAAGAGAUCUCCAGAUAAUUCAGAAUGCCUACUUCAAAGUUGUUGAAAGGAAUGUGAAAACAUAUCAAAGAAAAUAAAUAUUAAUGGAGAGGGAUGACAUACCCCUCAUAUUUGAUGCACACCUUUUUAUCU